rnacentral:rRNA from 1 species
UGAGCAAUCUGCCCUUCACAUCGGAAUAACCAUUGGAAACGAUGGCUAAUACCGAAUAUGACUCCGGAUCGCAUGAUCUGAAGUGGAAAGCUCCGGCGGUGAAGGAUGAGCUCGCGGCCUAUCAGCUAGUUGGUGUGGGUAACGCCACAAGGCGACGACGGGUAGCCGGCUGAGAGGGUGACCGGCCACACUGGGACUGAGACACGGCCCAGACCU